rnacentral:ncRNA from 2 species
GGAAGCCGGUGCGAUUCCGGCGCGGUCGCGCCACUGUGACGCGAGAGCAGCGGGCUCCUGCGAAGCCAGAC